AUUCCCCACCAUUAAACACCACCUUUUAUCUUGAUCCAAAAUUAAAAGAAAUUGAAUGGCCAUUUGCUGUUUUCUACAGCAAUUGAGUCAAAACCCCAACGCCCCAUGUUCUCUCCUUAUUUGGCCGACAAAAGAACCAAAACCUUAGCACCUUUUUGAUUCUCAUCAGAUCUAACCCAAAAACUCUCACUAAUCGCCAUGACACCCUUGUAUUUGAUGAUUGGCGAUGAAUAUAUGCCUCACUUUCACCCCUUUUGAAACCACAACCCAUGGAUUGCCGAUUUUAACUUCGAAUUCCCCACCUCAAGCUUCGAUUGUGACAAAGGAGUUAGGGACUCCGACGGUGUUUUAUGAAGGAGUAGUCGUACAAAGACACGAACAGAGACGCGCGCGAGGAACUAGUGGCGCACGUGUGGUGCUAGAGACCGACUGCUAGUUGCGGCGUGAGGGGAGAUGGCUAGCUGCUGGUGUUUUCCAAAAGCCUCUAGGUUUUUUUUCAGUUAUUGGGCCUUUUUUCGGGUCAUUUUGGGUCUCAGGUUUGGGCCCGUAAAUGGGUUAGGUUUGGAUUAAUAGAUUUGGGUUUAAUUUAAUAGGCUAUGGGGUUAAGUUUAUUGAAUCAUGGACUGUUUUGGACUAAUGGACUUUUAUUGUUUUUAUUUUGGUUUAUUUUUGUUUUUUAAUUUUUGGUUUUUUGGUUUUCUAAUGGGCCCGGGCGAAAUGGGUCUAUUACACGUAUUAUAAUCCACUUUAUCAAGAAAUUCGUUUUCUUAUGACAAA